GUGUGCACGCGCACCACGGGAGGCGUGGAAGGAGGAGGCGCAGGCCUUAGGGUAGCUGGAGGCGGUGCUCACUGAGGUCAGCGGUGUGCACGCGCGCCACGGGAGGCGUGGAAGGAGGAGGCGCAGGCCUUAGGGUAGCUGCAGGCGGGGCUCACUGAGGUCAGGAGUGUGCACGCGCGCCACGGGAGGCGUGGAAGGAGGAGGCGCAGGCCUUAGGGUAGCUGGAGGCGGGGCUCACUGAGGUCAGCGGUGUGCACGCGCACCACGGGAGGCGUGGAAGGAGGAGGCGCAGGCCUUAGGGUAGCUGCAGGCGGGGCUCACUGAGGUCAGGCGUGUGCACGCGCGCCACGGGAGGCGUGGCUGCUCAGGCGACUGGACUCCUUCUGUGUCCUGACUCUUCCAUUUUGCUUCUCUUCCUCGUUUGUUCUCUAGACUGCAUUUUGCUUUUCCCCAGAGUUUAGAUGAAGUUCCUGCCACCAUCCUCUAGCAAUUAGAAAUGAUCCCAACCCUUCCUACAUAACUCCACACACAAAAUGUGGUCAUCCUUAAAUGUACCACCAGGAUAAUAAGAUGAACUGGUGGAUGUUAGAGGUAAUCAGCCCUGGUCUCUGGGAGCACAAUACAGCCCGUGUGUGGCACACUCAGUGACUCUGGUUUGCUACUUGGGAAGUCCUGAACCCCAACAUCUUCUAAUAUCUUACUUAAGAGCCACCAUUUUGAGAUAGUGUAACAGCUGAAGAAUUGAUGCUUUUGAACUGUGGUGUUGGAGAAGACUCUUGAGAGUCCCUUGGACUGCAAGGAGAUCCAACCAGUCCGUUCUGACGGAGAUCAGCCCUGGGAUUUCUUUGGAAGGAAUGAUGCUAAAGCUGAAACUCCAGUACUUUGGCUACGUCAUGCGAAGAGUUAACUCAUUGGAAAAGACUCUGAUGCUGGGAGGGAUUGGGGGCAGGAGGAAAAGGGGACGACAGAGGAUGAGAUGGCUGGAUGGCAUCACUGACUUCGAUGGACAUGAGUUUUAGUAAACUCUGGGAGUUGGUGAUGGGCAUGGAGGCCUGGCGUGCUGUGAUUCAUGGGGUCUCAAAGAGUCAGACACGGCUCAACAACUGAACUGAACUGAACUGAACAGCUAACACUGAUUUGGAUGACACUUUUUUCCUACUCAAUAUUCAUUAUCCUCUGCUCUCCUGCUUCGAAGCAC
ensembl:lncRNA